UCCUACGGGAGGCAGCAGUGGGGAAUAUUGCACAAUGGGCGCAAGCCUGAUGCAGCAACGCCGCGUGAGGGACGAAGGCCUUCGGGUUGUAAACCUCUUUUAGUAGGGAAGAAGCGACUGGGUUUUCCUGGGAGUGACGGUACCUGCAGAAAAAGCACCGGCUAACUACGUGCCAGCAGCCGCGGUAAUACGUAGGGUGCAAGCGUUGUCCGGAAUUAUUGGGCGUAAAGAGCUCGUAGGCGGUUUGUCGCGUCUGCUGUGAAAACCCGAGGCUCAACCUCGGGCCUGCAGUGGGUACGGGCAGACUAGAGUGCGGUAGGGGAGAUUGGAAUUCCUGGUGUAGCGGUGGAAUGCGCAGAUAUCAGGAGGAACACCAAUGGCGAAGGCAGAUCUCUGGGCCGUAACUGACGCUGAGGAGCGAAAGCAUGGGGAGCGAACAGGAUUAGAUACCCUGGUAGUCCAUGCCGUAAACGUUGGGAACUAGAUGUGGGGACCAUUCCACGGUCUCCGUGUCGCAGCUAACGCAUUAAGUUCCCCGCCUGGGGAGUACGGCCGCAAGGCUAAAACUCAAAGGAAUUGACGGGGGCCCACACAAGCGGCGGAGCAUGCGGAUUAAUUCGAUGCAACGCGAAGAACCUUACCAAGGCUUGACAUAUACCGGAAACGGCUGGAAACAGUCGCCCCGCAAGGUGGGUAUACAGGUGGUGCAUGGUUGUCGUCGGCUCGUGUCGUGAGAUGUUGGGUUAAGUCCCGCAACGAGCGCAACCCUCGUCCUAUGUUGCCAGCACGUAAUGGUGGGAACUCAUGGGAUACUGCCGGGGUCCACUCGGGAGGAAGGUGGGGAUGACGUCAAAUCAUCAUGCCCCUUAUGUCUUGGGCCUCACGCAUGCUACAAUGGCCGGUACAAAGGGCUGCGAUACCGC
rnacentral:rRNA from 1 species